UUUGAAAAAAAAGGUUGGAACUUGAAAGAAAUAGAGAGCGAGAGAAUAAAAACAUCAAAGAAGAGAUUCCACCUUCUGUGUAUUUGCCAUUUACUUCUUAGCUUCAUGGCAUUCACGGAAGGUGGUGUUUUGACUUUUAAAGCCUAAAGAGAG